AGUAAAAGUCGUAACAAGGUCUCCGUUGGUGAACCAGCGGAGGGAUCAUUACAGAGUUAUCCAACUCCCAAACCCAUGUGAACUUAUCUCUUUGUUGCCUCGGCGCAAGCUACCCGGGACCCAGCGCCCCGGGCGGCCCGCCGGCGGACAAACCAAAACUCUUGUUAUCUUAGUUGAUUAUCUGAGCGUCUUAUUUAAUAAGUCAAAACUUUCAACAACGGAUCUCUUGGUUCUGGCAUCGAUGAAGAACGCAGCGAAAUGCGAUAAGUAACGUGAAUUGCAGAAUUCAGUGAAUCAUCGAAUCUUUGAACGCACAUUGCGCCCAUUAGUAUUCUAGUGGGCAUGCCUGUUCGAGCGUCAUUUCAACCCCUAAGCACAGCUUACUGUUGGGACUCUACGGCCCCCGUAGUUCCCCAAAGCCAUUGGCGGAGUGGCAGUAGUCCUCUGAGCGUAGUAAUUCUUUAUCUCGCUUUUGUUAGGCGCUGCCCCCCCGGCCGUUAAACCCCCCAAUUUUUUCUGGUUGACCUCGGAUCAGGUAGGAAUACCCGCUGAACUUAAGCAUAUCAAUAAGCGGAGGAAAAGAAACCAACAGCGAUUGCCCCAGUAACG
rnacentral:rRNA from 1 species